rnacentral:rRNA from 1 species
UACGAAGGGGGCUAGCGUUGUUCGGAAUCACUGGGCGUAAAGCGCACGCAGGCGGAUCGUUAAGUCAGGGGUGAAAUCCCGAGGCUCAACCUCGGAACUGCCUUUGAUACUGGCGAUCUUUGAGUCCGGGAGAGGUGAGUGGAACUCCGAGUGUAGAGGUGAAAUUCGUAGAUAUUCGGAAGAACACCAGUGGCGAAGGCGGCUCACUGGCCCGGUACUGACGCUCAUGUGCGAAAAGCGUGGGGGAGCAAACA